rnacentral:rRNA from 1 species
GUGUCAGCCGCCGCGGUAAUACGUAGGGUGCAAGCGUUAAUCGGAAUUACUGGGCGUAAAGCGUGCGCAGGCGGUUUUGUAAGUCUGACGUGAAAUCCCCGGGCUCAACCUGGGAAUUGCGUUGGAGACUGCAAGGCUGGAGUCUGGCAGAGGGGGGUAGAAUUCCACGUGUAGCAGUGAAAUGCGUAGAGAUGUGGAGGAACACCGAUGGCGAAGGCAGCCCCCUGGGUCAAGACUGACGCUCAUGCACGAAAGCGUGGGGAGCAAACAGGAUUAGAUACCCUCGUAGUCC